rnacentral:rRNA from 1 species
CCUACGGGUGGCAGCAGUGAGGAAUAUUGGUCAAUGUGCGGAAGCCUGAACCAGCCAAGUCGCGUGAGGGAUUAAGGCCCUGCGGGUCGUAAACCUCUUUUGCCGGGGAGCAACGGGCGUCACGUGUGGCGCCACUGAGAGUACCCGGAGAAAAAGCAUCGGCUAACUCCGUGCCAGCAGCCGCGGUAAUACGGGGGAUGCGAGCGUUAUCCGGAUUUAUGGGGUUUAAGGGGUGCGUAGGCGGAUCGUUAAGUCGGUGGUAAAAUUGAGGGGCUCAACCCCUUCCCGCCAUUGAAACUGGCGCUCUUGAGUGGAAGAGAAGUAUGCGGAAUGCGUGGUGUAGCGGUGAAAUGCAUAGAUAUCACGCAGAACCCCGAUUGCGAAGGCAGCAUGCCGGCUUCCGACUGACGCUGAAGCACGAAAGCGUGGGGAUCGAACAGGAUUAGAUACCCCGGUAGUC